rnacentral:rRNA from 1 species
GACGAACGCUGGCGGCGUGCCUAAUACAUGCAAGUCGAGCGCAGGAAAUCGACGGAACCCUUCGGGGGGAAGUCGACGGAAUGAGCGGCGGACGGGUGAGUAACACGUAAAGAACCUGCCCUCAGGUCUGGGAUAACCACGAGAAAUCGGGGCUAAUACCGGAUGGGUCAUCGGACCGCAUGGUCCGAGGAUGAAAGGCGCUUCGGCGUCGCCUGGGGAUGGCUUUGCGGUGCAUUAGCUAGUUGGUGGGGUAAUGGCCCACCAAGGCGACGGUGCGUAGCCGACCUGAGAGGGUGAGCGGCCACACUGGGACUGAGAAGCGGCCCAGACUCCUACGGGAGGCAGCAGUACGGAAUCUUCCACAAUGGACGAAAGUCUGAUGGGGCAACGCCGCGUGAACGAUGAAGGCCUUCGGGUCGUAAAGUUCUGUUGUAAGGGAAGAACAAGUGCCGCAGGCAGUGGCGGCACCUUGACGGUACCUUGCGAGAAAGCCACGGCUAACUACGUGCCAGCCGCCGCCGUAA